UUUGCUUCUGUCUAAGCAUAGCAUCUUUGAUUUUUUACAUUUUUGCUCUGUUCUGGACCUGUUUUCUUGACCUUAUUGCAGAUAUUAGGAACUGGAUUCGUAAUAUCGAACAGCACGCUUCGGAUAAUGUCAACAAGAUCUUGGUAGGGAACAAAGCCGAUAUGGACGAGAGUAAGAAAGUAUAGUGCACAGGAGUUUCAUUCACACUUAUCUUACCACUUCCUGAUUCACGACUAAUCAUAUUAACAGCGUUUACAUUUUUUUGUUUCAGGCUGUUCCAACAUAAAAGGGUCAAGCACUUGCUGAUGAAUAUGGAAUCAAGUUCUUUGAAGCAAGUGCCAAAACAAAUCUAAAUGUGGAAGAGGUUUUCUUCUUGAUAGCAAAGGACAUUAAGCAGAGACUCACAGAUACUGACUCGAGAGCAGAGGAUGAAAAGAAGUGUAUAACCGGCAGUUUUUGUGACAUGCUCUUCAUAUCACCGUCAAACAGGAGCUAAGGUUCAUAAUUUAAAAGAAACAAAACUUUCUCAUAUUUUAGUGGAUGAGUAUUAAGUUAACUGUGAUGGUAUGUAGGGUUACUUGACUCCAUGUUCAGGGGAGACUCGCCUGCCUAUAUUCAAGCCCCCAAUGGAGGGUCUGGAGGACAUCUUGACCAACCAAGUCAUGUGAGAUCACUGACCACAUGUUUCUUCUAAUGGAAAGAUGUACUCAACUCAUCGAAUGAUACUUUGAAGAUAUAAGAAAAACAACAUCUAAUAGUGUACUUGAAGAUCAUAAUACUCCGGAGAAGAUACUAUUUCUUAUUUUUAUUUUUUAUUUUUUCUGACAUUAUAUGUUACACUACAAUUCUUUAGAUCAAUCUAUUGAACCAUUACUUUAUAAGGUAAUAACAUAGUUCAAUACUUGAACAAAAAAAGUUUAGUUACACCAAACUUUGUAGAUAAAUUCUUAUUAUUAUUCCCAUAUCAAAUAUCAGAAACGUAUAUUAUUAUCUUAUAUCCAACUUAAAUUUUUUAAAAAAAAAAUUUGAAUAGUAUAUUCUAGAUACUAUUAAAAUUAUCUGAUUUAUCAAUAAUAUAUAAAAAUAAAAAUACUAUUUAAAUAAUUUGUAUGUAAUUACUCAUUUGUUAAUAAAUUCAGAAAAUAGUCAUUUAUGGUAUAUUUGAAUUAAAAAAAUUGUAAAUUUAGAAAAACUAUUUACCAAAAACAAUAUGAAUAUUGAUUAUUUUCAUGAAAAUGUAUGGACAUCAACCAAAUUAAAUUCUAAAAACAGACUAUAAUCUCACCGAAGAAAAAGUUGUGAGAACAUGUUAGAGAAGGCUAUAAAUCUACAAACUCACUACUUAUUACAUGUAUCUAUUUUACUACUUUAAUAAAACAUAAAGAAUGGUAUUUUUUUAGAAAAGCAUAUUAUAGUAUGAGUAUCAACUAAACAACUUGACAAAAACAUAUAAACAAAAAUAAAAGUAGAUAACCUAAAAUAAAAAAGACAUAUGAAAGAUAUACACUGUCAAUUUAGAGUAGAACAUAGCCCAGUUAAAACCAUAUAAAAUAUCGAUUCCUAUAAAUAACGCAAUAAAAUUUAGGUUGGAUAUCAUGAUCUCAAUAAAUUUAAUCGUGAAAUAUAAAAGAUGAACAAAAUAAUGAUUCAUACAUAAUAUAUAAGCAACUAUUAUUUAAAAUAUAUAAUAAAUUUUAAACAAAAUAUAUGAAUUAUCUGCACUACUCACAAUAAAUCAUAUUAUAGUUAAGGUUCUCUCUCAUAAUAGUAAAAUCAAUAGAAUUUUUUUAAAAAAGUAUAUUAACAGUAAAUUCAAAAGAAAGUGUAUAAGAAAAGAAUAAUUCAUAUUUUAUGUGCUGAAAUUCAAUCGAAAUUUCGAAUAAUUUUGUUUAUUUAUUAUUAUAAUUAUAAAAUAGUUACAUCAUUAAAAGUAAAAUUUAUUUUAAAGUCUAUGAUUUGUAAAAAUGUAACAAAAUAAUUUGUGAAUGUUAACAUUACUUUAAGAAUAAACUAAAUAUUUUAAAUAUGUUUCAUAAUUUAAAAUAUUUUUAUAUUGUUUUUCACUUGAAUACCCGCCCAUAGGACGGGUUUUACCCUAGUUAAUAUAUAAUUAUAGGGUUUAUGAUAAGAACAGUUACUUGUAAUACAAGAAAAAUAGGACUGAGGAACUUAUCAUAAUUGAUCACGUGCUCCACAUCACCAACCGAUACAAGACGUCAAAGACGUAGCAUCGAUGGCUCUCCGAAACCAUGGAUCAACUACGGUGACCAAGGGAUCACGGCGGUACAGAUCUACGACCGGUGGUGGUGGGGACAUGCGGCUCCGCCUCGAACGUCUUUCUCUCCCUCUCGGCUCAUGCUCUCCAUCUCGCAGAUCCGGUACGUAACAAAAACGCAACAGACGUCACGGCAUCCGGCAGGUAACGAGUCUGUGAUAACAUGGGCUGCUCCUCCGGUGAUGAACCAUGGCUCCGGUGGGAUGAGGUGAGAUUGUUGACGGUGGUGGUGGUGCUUGGUGGUGUUGAUGCGUGCCGGUGGCGUCAAGAUGCGAUGACUCCUGCUCGCAGAUCUCUUCCUCCAUGCACUAACGUAUCAGCAACCAUAGAAGAAAGGGAACUUGAGGGAGGAGAGGAAGGAGGAGCACGUGUGUGGAGGUGGAGAGGAAGAGAGAUGAUCAAAGGAGAUGAUAGCAAUGACGGCUCCACUCUCUGACAAAUAAAUAAAAAGAAUAGGGUUUUGAUUCCUUUUAAAUACAUAUACACAUGCACAGUAUAAGAAUAAGAAGGAUAUGGAUUUGGUUUAGGAAAUGGUUUGGUUAAUUAUUGUGGUUUAUAUUACUAUAAUUUAAAAUCAAACCAAUCGGAUAAAGAAACCGAGUCGUUACAAUUCUUCCCCACUUAAUCGGAAUUCGUCCCGAAUUCCAAGACGGAACCCGAGAAUAACUUCAAUAGCUACGAAAGAAAUAAUAUAAAAACAAACAAUGGAAACAAACUUAACUUGGUCUUCUCCUGCAAAGAAAAAAAAAUCAGAAACACUAAGAACUAGCCGAAUGAUACUGGAAACAUUGAAAACCGUUGAAAUCUUAGUCCCAUAAAUCGCCGUCCCGGGUCAGAACCGGAACGGAAUCCCGCUCUGAUACCAAAUUGUAACACCCGUCUCCUCCUCUCUCGAGAACGGCAUGCUACUAACCAAAAAGAUACUGCAUUAAACCGAUUUCUAAAACCGAAUAAAAUGUCAGACCUUUUAAUCAAAUAAUUUCCAAGUAAAACGAGUUUAUAAUUUAAAACCAAAUACAUUAUCAAAAAGUUAAUUAAAACCGAAAAAAAUACGAUGAUCCCAAGACACCAAAACGUCCAGAUAUCCGAACACUCGGCAAGCACACCUGCAAGGGAAAAAAGAGGGGUGAGCAAUAGGAGAGUUACUCCGUGAGGUAUGGGUUGCUAAACACGCAAACCACUGACUCGAGUAGAUAGAACUCCCAUUAUGGAAGUUUAGCUCUAAUAUGAACACACACGACGCCUAGCGCAUCACACAAACCAAACAAUGCGAUGAUAGCAUAUAGCUGGUCCAUACACCCCACAUCACCUCAUAUGGAUAUAUAGUACGUAACGUCGCUAGUAUAGUCUGUCUCUGUACCCCCGCCCUCUCAAGUAGCGCCCAUGGUACAAACGUCUCUGCACCAGACGCCCGCACCAGUAGCAUCGCAAGUACAGACGUCUCUGAACCCCUGCCCGCACAAUGAAAGUAGCAUCGCUAGCCCAGAUGAUAAAACCGAAAUAAGGAUCACUCUUUCGGUAAGGUUGAUAUGAACUCAGAUCCGAGAGGAUUGAGAACUGAUGGUAUGAACGGUGACACUAA